GAUGCCGCGUGAGUGAAGAAGGCCUUUGGGUUGUAAAGCUCUUUUGUAGGGGAAGAUAAUGACUGUACCCUAAGAAUAAGGUCCGGCUAACUUCGUGCCAGCAGCCGCGGUAAUACGAAGGGACCUAGCGUAGUUCGGAAUUACUGGGCGUAAAGCGCGCGUAGGCCGUUGAGUUAGUUAAUUGUGAAAUCCCAAAGCUUAACUUUGGAACUGCAAUUAAAACUGCUCGACUAGAGUUUGAUAGAGGAAAGCGGAAUACAUAGUGUAGAGGUGAAAUUCGUAGAUAUUAUGUAGAACACCAGUUGCGAAGGCGGCUUUCUGGGUCAACACUGACGCUGAGGCGCGAAAGUAUGGGUAGCAAAGAGGAUUAGAUACCCUCGUAGUCCAUACCAUAAACGAUGAUUGCUAGAUGUUGGAAAUUUAUUUUCAGCAUCGCAGCUAACGCAUUAAGCAAUCCGCCUGGGGAGUACGACCGCAAGGUUAAAACUCAAAUGAAUUGACGGGGACCCGCACAAGCGGUGGAGCAUGUGGUUUAAUUCGAAAGAUACGCGCAGACACUUAGCAAGCCUUGACAUGUCUGUCGCGAGUCAAGGAAACUAGACUCUUCGGUUCGGCCGGACAGAACCC
rnacentral:rRNA from 1 species